rnacentral:rRNA from 1 species
GUCCACGCUGUAAACGAUGGGCACUAGGUGUCGCGGGUAUUGACCCCCGCGGUGCCGCAGCUAACGCAUUAAGUGCCCCGCCUGGGGACGUACGGCCGCAAGGCUAAAACUCAAAGGAAUUGACGGGGGCCCGCACAAGCGGUGGAGCAUGUGGUUUAAUUCGACGCAACGCGAAGAACCUUACCCCGGGCUAGACAACAGAGGACAGCCCUAGAGAUAGGGUCUUCCCUUCGGGGACCUCUGGUUCAGGUGCUGCAUGGCUGUCGU